CUAGUUGUAAGUUCUGUUGCUUUGUAUGUUUUUGUAGAAGAGUUAGCAUAAGUUACGUUCGCGGUUAACGUUAACUUUACUCAUUGCAUUUGGUGCAGUGCUUUUUUACGCUGACAAGACGACUGGACAAUGAAGUUAACGUUAUACGGUGUGUGCCACAGCCACUGACAUUGAAAGGAUGGUAACGCUACCAAGCACACCUCGCUUGAUUGUCCAAGGUGUUUUGGGGCAUCAAUCCAGAGAUGGGCACAAAAUCGAAGAGACAGCGAGGACAAAUCAACCAGCAAGUGUGUACACUAAUCAGGAAGCUCAUUGACUUUAAGUGGAUGUCAAAGUAGACAGUGAAAGGCAAAACAUGAAUACAGCAUGAGGUUUACGGUUUUAUAAGUGUUUUUAAUAUUUCAAUGUUCUGUUUUUUAAUUGAUUCAUGUUAAACUGGAGGUGAAAAAUGUCUUUAAAAUUCAAUUGUAUGUAUAUUGCGCAAAUUUUUUUAAGUGGUACCAAAGCACAAACCGUUUGCAGCUUUAAUUAUCAGUUAAUCUGCUCGAUUAAUCAAUUAACUGAUUAGUGUAUAAAAUGUCAAACAUUUUGAGAAAUGCUCUUUUUACAAUUUCCCAGUGCCCAAAGUAACAUCAAUGCAGUAGUUGCACUGUCCUGUAAAGUUUAUAUAAAACUGCAAAAUAAAUGUGUAAAAUAGA